CGCAUUCGACUCCCCAACCUUUCCGCGCCAGCUGGGUUGUUGCUAGGAGAUCGCGAUGCCCCAGCUGGGGAGGGCGGAGCCUUGGGGAGGGCGUCCCCGCCCUCCUCAUGGCAUUGUUUAAAGACUCAAUCCGUUCUUAUCCUGGCCGAAAGGAAGAUCCUUCAUUGGAGAGAAAUUUUAGAGGUCACAAAGAUGCAGUCACCAGUGUGGAUUUCAGUGCCAACCGGAAACAGUUAGUAAGUGGCAGCAUGGAUGCAUGUUUGAUGAUCUGGCAUAUGAAACCUCAUAUGAGAGCCUAUCGUUUCGUGGGGCAUAAAGAUGCUGUGAUGUGUGUUAAUUUUUCCCCUUCUGGUCAUCUUGUGGCAUCAGGGUCCAGAGAUAAAACUGUCCGUAUAUGGGUGCCUAAUCUCAAAGGAGAGUCCACUGUUUUCCGAGCUCACACAGGAACUGUAAGAAGUGUCCAUUUUUCCAGUGAUGGUCAAUCAUUGGUGACAGCCUCAGAUGAUAAGACACUAAAAGUGUGGACAGUGCACCGCCAGAAAUUUUUGUUCUCCUUCACCCAACACAUCAACUGGGUCCGCUGUGCCAAAUUCUCUCCUGAUGGAAGGCUAAUUGUAUCUGCCAGUGAUGAUAAAACUGUUAAACUGUGGGAUAAGACUAGCAGAGAAUGUGUGCAUUCCUUUUGUGAACAUGGCGGGUUUGUCAAUUAUGUAGACUUCCAUCCCAGUGGUACAUGCAUAGCUGCUGCUGGUACAGAUAACACUGUCAAGUUGUGGGACAUCAGGACCAACAGGCUCCUUCAGCAUUAUCAAUUGCACAGUGCUGUGGUAAAUGCCCUUUCCUUUCACCCAUCUGGAAACUACCUGAUUACAGCUUCCAAUGAUUCAACACUGAAGAUUCUAGACUUGAUGGAAGGCAGGCUGCUAUAUACUCUUCAUGGCCAUCUGGGGCCAGCUACCUGUGUUGCCUUUUCAAGAUCAGGAGAAUUAUUUGCUUCUGGAGGUACUGAUGAACAAGUGAUGGUGUGGAAGUCUAACUUUGAUGUUACUGAUUAUGAAGAUCCCCUGAAGACCCAAAGAUUUGCUAGUAGUUCAAAGAGCGAUGCCAAGAUUCUGCCAGAAAUGGAUUUCUCAGAGGUUUCUCUCGGAAUGAAAUCUCAGGAUUCUUUCAGGAACUCACAGGCAGAGGCAGUCACUAUUCCUGCAACAGUUACAAACACCCUGGAGCAUAUUGUGAGCCAAUUGGAUGUCCUCACCCAGGUCAGUUGUGAGGUUUUUUACAUGAAGAAAGCCAGCAUCAUGCGAAAGAAAGUAGCCUGGUACAUUUUUGAAGCAUCUUGAUAGAUUGGAGGGCAUCCCUAGAGGAGGACAACCAGGAUGGUAAAGGAUCUCAAAGUCAUGUGAAAUGAAGAUCAGUCAAAGAUGCUGCUGUUGAUGACUGUUUCCAUUCUAGAACAGAGACUGACCCUGACAGAAGACAAACUCAAGCAGUGCUUGGAAAACCAACAACUAAUCAUGCAGAGUAAAGCUGAGUGAUUUGGAGAAGAAAAAUCAAGAGUGAUAUCGAUUUUAG